AACCCAUGGUGAGGGCACCUUCUCAGUAAGUCUUUGUAUCUCUCCCAUACGUCAUAAAGAGUUUCUAAGUCCAUCUGCACAAACGAAGAGAUAUCGUUACGAAAUUU
rnacentral:snoRNA from 1 species